UGGGCAACAGAUUAUUAUUAUUAUUAUUUUGUAAAAAGGCCAAACCUCUGCCCAGUUCUGAACACUGAUUCAGCUCCCUCUUUCUUGAGGCCGCCCGUUGGUUGUGUGGGGUUUCAGGGAUGCUUCUGAGGGCAAAGUAAGCCCCUCACCCAGCUGGGGAGAGAAGGCAGUGAGGGAGGGCUGGAUCAUGCCUGCAGCCUUGGGGAGUGAAGCAUUUCCAGGCACUGCUACCAGAGGGGUCAGGCCCCCAGGCCCCUGUCCCCCAAGCCCAGGACACCAGUAGCUGGGAAGGGAAGAGGGGGACUGGCCAUCCUGCUCCUCUCCCCUCUGCAAAGUGGACAGAGCUCCUCCUCUUCCUGCUGUGUGUUGCCCGUUUUGAAAUCUUACUCCCAUCCCCAAAGUAUGCUUUUGGAUACCAGGUGAAGGGGAAGGAUGGUGAUGGUGGGGAACAGCUGUUUUAAUUUGCCUCAGGCCUAUGAAUCUCCCUACCUGAACCCCAGCUUGCCAUAGAGUCUAACUGGUCCGUGGUCAGAAGGUGGGCUCCAUAGCUGUCUGGGGGUUGGGGCUCCCUCCCCCAUUUCUGAGCAUUCCCAGGGUUUGGGAGUCUGCUUAUGAUUCUCUGCCAGAGGCCACGGCCACCAGCCCUGAGUGUGGAAACAAUGGGACAGAUGGGUUGGUUCAAGGCCUUUGGGCAGCUGGUGGUGGGUCUUGGAGAGCUGGGAACCCCUUCCUAGGGAGGCUGGAGACCCUCUGGUCUGUGAGUGGACAGCUGAGAGUGGGGCAGGGGGAAGGAGGGGAGAGGAAGAUGGGGGUGCUUCCUGCUGGGCACCCGGGAUGUGGGAGGAUAGACAACCUCCCAGGCAGAGCGAGUGGGAACUGCCUUAGAGCCUCUCAGCAGCUGUCCCCGGGGAGGCCUGGCUGUGCGGCGGGCGCCCCCUCCAUGUGCGCAGCCCAGGCAGCUAGAAGAGAGGCCCAAAGGAAGAGCUGUCAGGAAACUCUGAGGAGGAGGGGUCCGGGCUUGCCAGUUCCGUACCAUGGGUUUUCUAGAAGGAACAGGGAACUCCCUGCAUGAGGGGAAAGAUUUGGAAGUGAGUGGGUUCCUGGGAACAGGCUCUCUCUGGGUUCUGAGUGAGCCCUGGCUGUGAGGGGGUCCUGAGGUGACUCCCCAGGGCCCUUUGUUCCAGCUUCUGUCCCCACUCCUUCCCUUUCUCUGCUCCAGUGCCAACCUCAGGUCAUAGGGCAGGUGGCCUUGAGAGAGGGACCUUCCACAGUUCCCCUUCUUUGGCUCCACCAGGAGAAGGGAGUAUUUUGCUGAUGGCGACAUUUCCCAGGGCAGGCCAGAGGAAGGCAGGAACCAGGACUGGCAGGCAGCCAGAACCCUCUUGGACAGAGAUAUAAUUACUUAUCAUGACCUCUAGCCCAGGCAUUGAGCAAAAUGGCCCUGUAGGCUGGCACCAACCCUGUCUAGCAAAUAAACGCGGCCAUGGUGGGGACGGGAGGGCAGGUAAGUGGGCCUUGUAGGAAAUGGCAGAGGCCUGUGAGCCCCUGGGGCCUAUAUAUUCCCUCAGCAACACAACCCUACAGACUCCCAGGUUAUAUUUUCACUCACUGCAUCCCAUUUGCUCAUUUGCUCGCCUCUCUGCAUCUCUGUUCUUCAUUUCAAUGUUAUGAAUAUUGAUGAUGAGAACAGGAAUGCCCAUGUGCAUGCGCGUGCGUGCACGCACGCACAUACACACACACACACACACACACACACACACACACACACGCCCUACUUAAUGAACCAAAGGGAAACUUUGAUGUUGCUCCAGGACAAGAGGGAGAGCCAGGGGCUGCCAGGCAAGGUGCAUCUUUCCUGAAGUCUUCUCCAGUCCUGCUCCUCCAGCUCUCAGCCUCUGCACAGCCACCAGGGUUGCAAAGGGAGCCUUGUGCUUGGAAAGCUACUGGCUCCGCGACCUCUCUCCUUCUCUUCCCUUCGUUCACCUAUGCUUCUUUUCAUGAAAGAUAUUUGGCAAUAGUUGGGUACUUCAAAAGUCUCAAUUCUGCUAUCAAAGGGAUGCAAAGCUUUUAUGGCUAGAAUGGGGUUUGUGGUUUAUACGGACUUGGUUUGCCCUUCCAUGUCUACUCCCCACUGAGACCCUGAUUCUCCUCCUGCCCUCUCCCUUCCCUGCACUGUUUCCUCCCUUCCCUCUGCCGUGAUAGAUGCUAAGGAGUGGGGUGGAGGUGGGAAGUGGGAAGCAACAGUGGCGUAUAGGAAAAAGAAAAUAUACCCCGUGCACAUUUUCAACAUGUAGUUGAAGAAGCCUAAAUUAGGUACUAGAAAAAAAAAAAGGACAGAAACACUGCCUGAUAUGUGAGCAAGAGCAUGAAAAUAUAGAAUGAUUAUCUCAGAGCAGAGGAGGUGGGGAGCAGGUGGCUGGAGAGAGGCGGGGUAGGUAGGCAGGGCGUCCCUGGCUCACCAAUGCGUCUGGUCCACAUGGCAUUUGGGAAAGCAGAUGGGUCAUGCUUUUGCAAUGAAUGGUCAGAUGCUUAGGGGGCAUUUGUGCUCCUCUGGCCAGGAAAGGGAACAGAGUCCAUCCAAGCUGCCCCCCACUCAUCUGCCAUGGUUGUCCACCCUGGGGGUUUUUCCUCUGAAGGAAAAUGAACCCAUCUUUUGCCUGCCAUGAAUCAUUGCAGGGCAGGCUGUUACUGGCUAAAUUAAAACCCUUGGCAGGGCAUCGACUGUGUGCGAGGCAAUGCUCUAGGUCCUGUAGGGGCUGGAAAAUAAACCGCAUGCUGGCCUAGCCUUCAAGUUGCUUUUCAGCCAUGAAAUUAAGCUCUGCCAAGCAAUCGUGAUUGUAGGUCAAGUAUCGCGCCAUCACGGAAGGUGUAAGUAUAUGUAGGUUUCUCUGUUGAGGAUGCGUGUUCCUCAGUAGAAGACAAGCAGGUGGAGGCAUCCAGUGAUUUCUACCCUGUGGAGGCUGAGGGGUCGGGGGAAGAAAACAGAUGACCUCAGCCUAGUUGCUUUAAUCUGCUUUUCCAAGCACUGGAUGCCCUUGGAUGACAGCAUCCUCAGCAUUAAAACUGGUGAACUGAUGAAGUCACCUGGCCUGGAGUGUGUUGGGCAGCCAGUGUCCCCAGAGCUGCUUGUGGGUUUCUGGGGUGGAAGGCAGGGAGGUGCAACUGGCAGGGCCUGAUCAGAGGCAGAAAAUGACCCCCACAGUGGUCUUUUCCCUGCUAGAGAAAGCAGAGAGCGGGACUGGGGGGGUGGGGGCUUCAAGUACAGAUUGGGCACACUCCACCAGACCCCAGCAAGGUCAGCUGCCCCACGCCUGUAUCUGGCACUGCUGGUGUGUGCAGGGAUGAAACCCAGCAUCAGAGAGGUUUUCAGCAAACCUUCCAUGCUCACCUUUGGCCAGGUGCUUGUCAGAUCCUAGCUUCGUGCUGGCUUAGACUCUCAGUUGUUUGUGUUGACAGCAUUAGGAAUAAACCGUUUGUUUCAUCUUUCCUUUUCUCCACACGUGUCACAGCCAGAUUUCAGCUUUGAGUUAUUCCCUGAAGAAGCCACACCAACCUUGCUUUCAAGCAAAAUGCCUGGGCUUGGGGGAAGGUGUGUAUCUGUCCAUGUGUGGAUGUUGGCUCAGAGCUAUAGCUUCUCUGUGGGGGGUGGCCCAAGGGAAGGCUCCUCUGGGGCCCUGGAUGGCACAUGACUCCCAGUGAGGAGAAUUCUGGUGAUCUCUGUGGAGGUAGUCAGGGACACAAGGCUUGGCUGUGAGUCUGGUUUUAAAGUGCGUGACAGCCUGAAAAGCAUGCAGGGGUUUGGUCCACUCACCUACUUGAAAGCCUGUGGGCAACGUUCUUUUGAGCCAAGACUUCUCUGAAUGGCCCUGCUGGUGGAAGGGGUGAGGCAAAGGCCUCUGACUUGGACCCUUUCCACACCAGACUGGCAGCACUUCCCCCAGGCAGCCAGUGGUGGGCCCUGAGCCCUCAGGUCCCCAGCUCCUUGAGGGAUGAACCUGGGAGCCCAAGAGCCAGUGGCUGAGCUCUGAGAAGGCUCCAUCUCCCACCUGCCCUUGAGCGCGCUCUCAGGCUGAGAACACGGUCUCAUCAGGCGCCUUCCUGGCCUGAUGCUGUGCUGUCUACGUCACACGGUCGAUUCACAAAAGCCAGAACUAGACCUCAACCAGGUCAUCUCCCCGUUGCCAAGUGGGUUCAGGGUGAGGGCAAUUUGUAAGCUCAAUUUCUCUGACAGCCAAGACAUGGAGCAUCUCUGCUAAGAAGCCAAAAGAAAUUGGUUUUCUUCUUCUCAUUGCUGAAGCCCCUCUGUGUCUCUUCUCAGGGACAGGCUGGUCCAGUGGCUUUGGUGAGGGCGCCUCCAUUUGUGAACGCUGGGAUUCCUCUGGGUGGGCUUUGGCAGGUGGCUCCUAUGGUAGGAAGGAUGACCAGGUCCCUGGGAAUGAGCUGCCUACCUGCUGCUCCACGAGGAAGCUCAGGCCUGCACAGGCUCCACCAGGCCUUGGAUGCCCUCUAGUUGAGUCAGAGACCCUGGAAACACACUGAGAUCUCCAAUUGCUGCCUCCAUUGAUGUCUCUAGACCUGCAGAUACGAAGCAAACCUGGGAUUGCUUCUUCCAGGAACGUAUCAAGCUCUCUCAGUGUUUCAGUGUUGGAGAUUGAGGCUGUGCCACAUCUUCUGCCAUCCUAAGGGGACAUGAUGGUUCUGUGAUUCCCAGAGAGCUGGCAGAUUGUGACAAUCUCCAGGAGAACCUACAGAUUGGAAGCAGCCCACACCUGAUGUGGACUCCUGACCCGGGACUCACUCUUCAUUCAGAAGACUGGUGGCCCACGUGCCAGGACCACCCCACCUCUCUUGCUGCCUUUUCUCCUGUCCUGAUGGGGUUCUGGGAGGGAGACCUGUCGCUGAUGAGAUGAAGAAUGUGGGGAUCGAGCAGCCUUCUUCUUUGGGACCCCUCGAUAUCCCAUGGAAUGCUCGCACGUUCUCAAAGACUGAGUCACAAGCCCCUACCCCUUCCUUGCUGUGGUUAGUAUCUUGUUCUGUGAUUGGUUAGCAAUGUUGACUACCCACGUAGUGAAUCUUUUGUCUGCAAUUUAGAGAAUGUGUAAACAAAUAAAAGGCUUUAAAACUCUUGGAAACUCUUAUUUUCCCUACGGAUAGUUAGGACCUCACUUGCAAAUGUAGAGAUCCUGUGGGGGUAGAG
rnacentral:lncRNA from 1 species